CUAAUUGGGGUUUAACGUUGGGGAAUGCAGAGAGAAAUGAAGCAAGAGUAGUACAACCUGCAGGAGCAGUUGUACCUAAUGAAGCCGCUGCCUCCUGAGACCGAGCAAUGGAAACAAUCACCGCAGAAGAAGCUCUUCUCUUCAUCGUCAUCAUCUUCUACGCCUUCAGCUGAUGAGGAUUUUAAAUUGGUUGAUUUUGAAUGGCAUGAUGUCGUAUCGAUCUCAAGUUGGCUGAACCCAUUCUCUCUCUCUCUCUCUCCAUUUUUUUCCCCCUUUUAACGGCUGGUUUAAAAGGAGGCAGGAGGAAGUAAUUAUAAAUUAUUCGUGCCAAAAGUUGGCCUAUUACAUUAAAAUAUCGGAAAAGAAAAAAAACUUUCUAUACUUCGGUAUAAUUUCGAUUCUUCAAAUUACACUUUAGUCACGUAUAAAUAGAAAAUUGAUUUUAUAAGCCUAUAUUCGGUACAAUUUCGAUUCUUCUAAUGUACAAAUCACAGGCUUCACAAAAUAUGACCAAGAGACUCCUCUGGAAAUGUCUGCAGGGAAUUCUUCCUGUUAGUGCAGUAGUAAAGGAAAGGUGCGGUGGGGGUGAUCAUAUCUGUAAAUACUGUGGAGAAAGUUUUGAAACGAUAGAACAUAUGUUAUUUUUCUGUAGGAAUGUUAGAACAAUCUGGAAGUGUGCACCUCUAAGUUGGGAUGGACUGGAUGAAUAUAGAAACAAUUUCUGACAUUGGUGGGAGGAGUUGAAGGAUGCCGUGAUCAAAGAAAGUGGGAAGGAGCACAUAAUUUUCACAGUAAAUCUCCUUGGCAGAUCUGGAAAUCGAGGAAUGAAAUACACAGUUUAACAACAUAUACAGAGAUCCAAUGGUAUCAGUGAACAAAGCAGUGGUGGAAUGGAAUGAAUACCAAGAAGCUCAGGAGAAGGAAUUGGAGCUAGAGGAUCAAAAACAGGAAGCAAAAAGAGACGAUCAGAGUUGGAAGCAACCACAAGAGGACUAGAUAAAAGUGAAUACAGAUGCAGCCUUAAACAACAAAGCUGGCAGAGUAGGAUGAGGCAUCACAAGAAGAAAUUGGGAAGGCAAAGUGAUAGCAACAUGGGUCUACCCAUCAAAAAGCUGCUCUAAUGCAAAACUUGAAGAGGCAUUAGCACUCAGAGCUGCAAUGAUACGAGCUAAACAACAAGGAUGAAAGAAAGUAGAAUUUGAAUCAAAUUGCAAGGAAAUGGUAGACAAGGUGAAUGGGGAGGAAGAUGAUCGAUCGAUCACUGCUACUGUGAUAAAGGAUAUUAGAAGUUUAAAGUAUGACUUUAACCAAUGUUGUAUCUCCUUCACUAGGAGGGAGAACAACUGUAUUAGCCAUAAAUUAGCAAAAUUUGCUAUGAACUUGGCAAAUGUAACUGAAUGGAAGCACACCUUUCCGGUUUGGCUGCUUGAAAUUACUCAAGCAGAUUUGGUGAGGCAGUGGCCUCAGUGUUUGUAAGACGUUUUGUUGAAGAAAUGGAAGUUGCCAUUUUGACCAAAAAAAAA